rnacentral:rRNA from 1 species
CCGAAUAUCUGAUGUGAGAAAUUCAAUAUUAUUUAUUGUAAUUCAUAUUUGAAAUUAUAUUAAAUAAUAUGCACUUUUCUCAUAGUAAGACAUUGUAAUCCAUUGAUAUUAUAUCUUUAUUUGUUUAAAGAUGAUUUAACAUACGGACAAAAUGUAUAUGAUUAUUCUAUAAAUGAUAUGUUUUACAUGUCAUAUGAAUAAAAUCGUUUUGUACCUGUUUAAAUAGUCGAUGGAUUUUUGAAAUUAAAAUCAUGCUAGCAAUUUAGUUUGCGUUUCGUAUCAUUAAUUUAUAAUUGAUGAUAGCAGAAAUGGCAUGUAUUUGAUUAACAAUGCGAUAGAUUUGGGAUGCCUUCGGGACCCGUCUUGA